GGGACGGGCGGUGCCCCAGGGCGGGUCUGUCAUGAGGGGCGGCUGGUGCCGCCCUGGGACCCCGCCGCCUCUGCCCGACUCUGUCCAGGGGCGCCCCAAUGCUUGCCCCGCCGCCUGGUCCUUCGCGGCACUCAUGCAUCGCGAUCCCCAGAGGUGUUUUGGAACCCGAGAAUGAGCCUCUCGGUCAGUACUAAGGGCUGGAGACUAAUCACAAGUCUGUGUUCACCACAAAAAACUGUCUUCUGUUUCUCGAGGCUCUGCUCUUUAUCCCUUUGCGAGGCUGGGAAGGAGCUGAAAUUCCAGAGCUGCUUCUGUAGCACUGAUGAGAACAGGGGUCUUGGAAGGACUGAGGUUUGGCGGCUGUGGAGCCUCUUGGAAACGCUACACAGUGUUGUGUCUGUUCCCUGUAUUUGGAAGGAAAUCUAAUUGUGACUGGAAGUCUCACCCAAAUACAACCAUUUUUGAUGGCAUAAUUUUCCCUGGAUUCAGCUAUACAGAAUGUUGGGAAUCUGUAGCCAGAAAACGAACAAUGCACCAAUGUGGGAAACCAGCCUAGUUUUGGCCACAAUAGCUCUGUGCCUUCGAUACCGUCAUUCUGUGAACACCCACCUGUUUUUUCCAGAGCAGCACAACUGGUCUAUAUGGAACAUACCGGGAAGCCAAGUGGGCGAUUGCCUGUGCUGUUUAUUUUUAUGGCAGUUGGCAGCACUGGAAAAUUCUCAACACACACAGAUUGCAGGAUGGACGGCAGAGAUUGGGAUGGAUGAACAAGGAUUAGCCCUCACAAUGGUACAGGAUGGGCCAUAUCUCCAGAAAACAAGCCCUGCUGAAAAAAAACUCUCCAGAUAAUGAUGGAAAGCUGAAACCAGCUGAUCUUAGUUUUUGGAACCAGAAGAAACAAGUUGAGCAUGCUUCAUGGAGCACCGGAUCUAACUCAGAACAUGCCCCAUGCAAAAAGAAACCUCACCAAACAGCUGAAUUUGUUCAAUUCACAUUUAGGAUGAACUUGUUUAGGACCAAAGCUAUAAAAUUUUGUGUAAAAUUUAGUAUUUUGUACAAGUCUCAUCUCUUAAUUAUACCACAAACAGCAUGCUUAUUUUGGCAUUAAUACCAAUGCACAGAGCAUGGGGCUGGAGGAAACUAAGAUGCACAAAUGCACUACUUAGGAGCUUUUCUUGCAGUGAAUUAGAUUUUAUCUUUAUGGACUUUUUUUUUCCUCAGCUGAUUAAGAUGAGUAUCAUCUGUAAAGUUUCAAACUGGAACUCAAAAGAACAAUUUUAUUACUGCUUGUAGCAUGAAGAAGCUGGUGCCACGCUGUUGACUUUAGGAGGAGGAAGAAAUUAACAGAACUAGUGGGAGGUACCAAUGUCUUAAAAUCCUAGUUACUCACCAAACUGGCAAGGAGGCAUGCAUGUGCUAAUCUCCACGCCAGCAAGAAGAAACAGGGCUGCAUAGUAUAUGUGUCUCCUCAAAAUACAAGUGCAAGUUAUCUCCAUAAAAAUCUUCAGUGGCUGCUUUCUGCUGGGAAGCCUCAGCUCUUGCAGGCACUCCUGGCCUCUCCUGACAAUGUUUCAUAAGGUGUGCACGUGUUGGUUAUUUUGAUGUUCCCCUUCCUGCCUCCUCUGUGAGCAUAAAUUCUGGCUGGCAAUAAAACCCCUUAAGUCAGAGGCCACGUCCCUUUGUAA